GAAAUUCGCCUUCAUGAAGCCGGAAUUGCUAGUAAUGGCAGGUCAGCAUACUGCCGUGAAUACGUUCCCGGGCCUUGUACACACCGCCCGUCACACCAUGAGAGUUGGGAAUACCCGAAGCCUGUGAGCUAACUUUUAGAGGCAGCAGUCGAAGGUAGAAUCAAUGAUUGGGGUGAAGUCGUAACAAGGUACC
rnacentral:rRNA from 1 species